rnacentral:lncRNA from 1 species
AAACAAGCCUCUCACCUCCUCAAAUAUGAUUCCAUCCUUGGAACCUUCGAUGCUGUUGUCAAGCCUGUAGGGAGUGAUAUCAUCUCAGUUGAUGGAAAAGAAAUCAAAGUUGUCUCUGAUCGAAACCCUGCCAACCUUCCUUGGAAGUAAGAUUCUUCUUCAGUUUCAUACAAUUAGAGUCUGUUUGCAUACAAAGUUAGAAGUACUUUCCAAAGUUUCUCUUAGGUAAAAAAAACUAUAUUUCAAGUAGAGAAGUUGUUUCUGGUUUGUAUCCAAACAUGCUCCUAGUUUAGUAAAAUCUUGAUGAAAUUUUUGUAUGGAGAAGAGAGUGACAGUUCAUGAAGGUGACUGUGUGCUUUAAUUGCAGGGAGUUGGGGAUAGACUUGGUGAUUGAAGGAACUGGGGUGUUUGUAGACAGAGAAGGAGCUGGGAAACACAUUGUAGCAGGAGCUAAGAAGGUGCUCAUCACAGCACCUGGUAAAGGAGACAUCCCCACCUAUGUGGUUGGUGUCAAUGAAUAUGAUUACAGUGGAGAUGAACCAAUCAUCAGCAAUGCCUCUUGCACCACUAACUGCCUUGCACCCUUUGUCAAGGUCCUUGACCAGAAAUUCGGUAAUGUGCCUUGUCAUCACUUUUUCUGUCAAAUUCAUUCCUCAUCCAUCACAUUGAAACGUCUUUCAAAACAAAACAACUAAACUCUCACUUCAAUAACUCAUCCAUCACUCAGGUUUUAGUCAUUAUUGUAACAGGUGGAAAACGAAACAAAAUAGAACUAACAUGAAUUACAUUUUUUAAAACCAUAGAUUAAAACAAAUAUUUAAUGCAAUUAAGAACUAAAAUGAAUCAACAUGAUGUGAUAUUGAUAAGGACACAAUCAAAGUUUAUUUUCAAGAAUAAGAUCUCUUGACAUAAAGUCAACAUUAGUCUUUAUUCUCAAUAGAAAAAUAUCCUGGUUUUAGCAGAAAAUAAUUAUAUCUUCACACUCCAAUAAAUUUGCAAUAAUUUGAUAACCACUAUUUUGUACAUCUUUCUCUCUUUUUAUUUACAAUUACAACGUUUACUUUCUCUAAUAAUAAUACUUUAUAACCAAGUCGAUUAUAUAGUUGUCUUAAACAUCAUUUCUUUAUAUUAGAAUGACUUCGCAUGCUAUAUUAGAGAAUAAAGUGAAGGUCUACAUGUUUUAUAUGUUAUAUAUGUAUGUGGUUAGAAUUGUAGCUCCAAGUUCAUAUAUAUAUAUAUAUAUAUGGAAUAAAAAUGGUUAUGCAUAGAAUAUUAGAGACUAAAGUGAAGUUUUAGAUGUUUUAAAAGAUGGCAAUGGAGACUGACAAUCCAUGGCAGGUAUCAUCAAGGGCACAAUGACUACCACUCACUCGUACACUGGUGACCAGAGGCUUCUUGAUGCUAGCCACCGUGACCUAAGGCGUGCUAGGGCAGCAGCUCUGAACAUUGUCCCCACUUCAACAGGAGCAGCAAAGGCAGUGGCCCUUGUGCUGCCAACCCUGAAAGGCAAACUGAAUGGCAUUGCACUGCGUGUGCCAACCCCAAAUGUCUCAGUAGUAGACCUUGUUGUUCAGGUCUCAAAGAAGACCUUUGCAGAAGAAGUGAAUGCAGCAUUCAGAGAGAGUGCAGAGAAGGAGCUGAAGGGAAUCCUCUCAGUCUGUGAUGAGCCUCUUGUGUCUGUUGACUUCAGGUGCACUGAUGUGUCCUCAACCGUUGACUCCUCGUUGACCAUGGUGAUGGGAGAU